rnacentral:lncRNA from 1 species
CACAAACCAGUUGGCAUUCUUUAGACAGUUAACACCAUAAUUAAUCCUAUUGUGUAUAUUUCCAGUGGAUGCACAAGAAAUAUGCAGCCUUUUAGUGUUCAAUCAGACUUAGCUAAAUGAUGGUACAAAAUUUUUGGUGAUAUGGCCUCUACCUCAUUCUUAAACUUUCACAUUAUGGGUGGGGAGGGGGUAAUUUCAUCAUGUUGCCUUAAAACAAGAGGAUGUUUGGGUAUUUUGGAACCAAUAAUCUCCAUUUCUUGUCUUCUCGUGACCUUUAGUAUUUCACCUAGGAGUAGGGCUGUUAGUGUACUUGGCAGCACAAGUAAAUAGAAAUUUAAGGGAAACUUAAUUUUCCUUUCCAUACCAUACAUGCAACAUUUCAGAG